rnacentral:rRNA from 1 species
ACUGAGCGUCUUUUGCAUGUCAAACCAGAUUACGCACCACUUCAUGUAUUUGGGUGUGCAUGUUGGCCCAACCUCCGUCCAUACAACAAUCAUAAACUCAUGUUUCGUUCGAAACAGUGUGUUUUUCUUGGCCAUAGUCCACAACAUAAAGGAGUUAAGUGCUUAGAUGUCUCUACCGGUCGAGUGUAUAUCUCCCGGGAUGUUAUGUUUGACGAAACCCAGUUUCCCUUUGCCACACUCCAUCCCAAUGUCGGUGCCCUUCUUCGCAAAGAAAUUCUUCUUUUGCCCUCGAAUCUCUCCAAUGGUGCAAAUGGGGAAGAAAAUAAUUGUGAUGAUCAAUAUUUGCCUAACCCUCCUAACUUUAUACCUGAGCUUUGUGUUUCAGCAAUA